AGCGAACGCUGGCGGCAGGCCUAACACAUGCAAGUCGAACGAACUCUUCGGAGUUAGUGGCGGACGGGUGAGUAACACGUGGGAACGUGCCUUUUGGUUCGGAAUAACUCGGGGAAACUUGUGCUAAUACCGAAUGCGCCCUUCGGGGGAAAGAUUUAUCGCCAUUAGAGCGGCCCGCGUCUGAUUAGCUAGUUGGUGAGGUAACGGCUCACCAAGGCGACGAUCAGUAGCUGGUCUGAGAGGAUGACCAGCCACACUGGGACUGAGACACGGCCCAGACUCCUACGGGAGGCAGCAGUGGGGAAUCUUGCGCAAUGGGCGAAAGCCUGACGCAGCCAUGCCGCGUGAAUGAUGAAGGUCUUAGGAUUGUAAAAUUCUUUCACCGGGGACGAUAAUGACGGUACCCGGAGAAGAAGCCCCGGCUAACUUCGUG
rnacentral:rRNA from 1 species